rnacentral:misc_RNA from 1 species
GAUGAAGAACGUAGCGAAAUGCGAUAAGUAAUGUGAAUUGCAGAAUUCAGUGAAUCAUCGAAUCUUUGAACGCACAUUGUGCCCGCCAGUAUUCUGGCGGGCAUGCCUGUUCGAGCGUCAUUACAACCCUCAGGCCCCCGGGCCUGGCGUUGGGGAUCGGCGGAAGCCCCCUGCGGGCACAACGCCGUCCCCCAAAUACAGUGGCGGUCCCGCCGCAGCUUCCAUUGCGUAGUAGCUAACACCUCGCAACUGGAGAGCGGCGCGGCCACGCCGUAAAACACCCAACUUCUGAAUGUUGACCUCGAAUCAGGUAGGAAUACCCGCUGAACUUAAGCAUAUCAAUAAGCGGAGGA